rfam:Desulfobacteraceae bacterium 4484_190.1 ex4484_190.1_scaffold_9839, whole genome shotgun sequence.
GUUGCACCCGGUCUUAGGAUCGGGUGAGGAUUGAAAC